GAUGAACGCUGGCGGCGUGCCUAAUACAUGCAAGUCGAGCGAACAGACGAGGAGCUUGCUCCUCUGACGUUAGCGGCGGACGGGUGAGUAACACGUGGAUAACCUACUUAUAAGACUGGGAUAACUUCGGGAAACCGGAGCUAAUACCGGAUAAUAUAUUGAACCGCAUGGUUCAAUAGUGAAAGACGGUUUUGCUGUCACUUAUAGAUGGAUCCGCGCCGCAUUAGCUAGUUGGUAAGGUAACGGCUUACCAAGGCAACGAUGCGUAGCCGACCUGAGAGGGUGAUCGGCCACACUGGAACUGAGACACGGUCCAGACUCCUACGGGAGGCAGCAGUAGGGAAUAUUCCGCAAUGGGCGAAAGCCUGACGGAGCAACGCCGCGUGAGUGAUGAAGGUCUUCGGAUCGUAAAACUCUGUUAUUAGGGAAGAACAAAUGUGUAAGUAACUAUGCACGUCUUGACGGUACCUAAUCAGAAAGCCACGGCUAACUACGUG
rnacentral:rRNA from 1 species